rnacentral:misc_RNA from 1 species
CGCGAUUGAGCGACGCUGUUCCGCGCGUGAGCAACACACGCGCACAAGAACGCUCACUCACCCAAACCAAUCGGCCAAGAGCCGGACACGGGCCAGAGCGGGCCCAAGUCUUUGGUGACGUCCAUCCGUGUGCGUGUGUUCGUGCGCCGAGGUGUCUCGCUCGAAUCACCUGUUCGCUUGCUCGGCGAGGAAGGGCGACGAGUCAGCAACAGCGUGGUGCCGCUGCAGCGUCUUAUGUGAGGCGCUGCCGUGUGCCUUCCGUGCCCUUGCUGUGAAUCGACCUCGUUCGUUGUUUUUCUGCCCCUGUUGGUGCACCACCAUGACGACGGAUGCGUCACCGGUGAACCCCUAUCUGCUGUUCAGCCGCGCGGACGAGUUCAGCACGGAUGCCAAGAUCGACUAUGCGCUCCGUCACUAUGGCCUCUACACCUCGAGGGGGGACAGCGCCACAUUUGCGCCAACGCCGCUGAACACCGAGCUUGAUCGCCGUACGCUCGUCCGCACGCUGGAGGAGCUCAAGCGGGGCGUCUCCUUGGGUGACCGACUGCUCCCAGUCACGCCGAGCACAUGCACAACACAUAACACGAACGCCAGCGCCUUCUCGUCGCCGGAGGACGCUGCGUCACCUCAGUUUGACGCCCCCAAUGACGGUGACGCCUCGAACGUGUUCUUCGACGGCACUGACGACCUCGACGCCAAGCCGUGGGAUACCGCCGCGAGCAGCCAUGCAAACUACUGGAACUGGCAGAUGGAGGUGCUCUACCAGUCCUACCACAUCUGGAUCGCACUUGAUUACGGGCGAGGCGUCUUCAGCAUCACGCGCAACGGCGUCGUUCUGGUCGAUCGCAUGCCGACCAUCGUCGCAUCGAUCCUGCAGGUGGUUGAGACGACGCUGCACGCCCGCGAGCAGGACCUGCAGCAGCUGCGCACCUUCGUCGAUGGCGCCAUCGCUGACGAGCAGACUCGAUCACGCGUGAUGCAGCAGGUGUGGAGUCCCACUGUUUUUGUAAGCGUGGUGUUGCUGAACGUUCCGCAUGAGGUGGAGAAGGCUGUCCCCUUCAGCCGGCCCACCUCAUCCGAGGCGGAGGCGGCCCGCGGUGGCAUUCACCGCCAACGACAACGAAAUCAACCCAGCGUCAUCAUGUACCCUCCUGAGUACCGCCGCUUCACACCUCUGGAGACUGACGGCGGCGAGCACUCUCGCUGCUCGGCCGUGACAGUGCUCUUUCACUGCGAUGCUCGGGAGCUGCUCAACGACGGCACGUUCCUGGACCGCCUUCGAGACCUUCUCUGCCGCUACGAAAGUGUCUACCGGGAGCGCAGCACGCGAGAGGAGUGGCCGCAGUCAUCGCUGGGUGCGUCGCUGGAGUACCUGGUGUGCGCGAUGCCGGAGAAAACGCCGGAGUGCAACACGCUUAUCUUAGUCAGCAACGUCGGCGCCAAGACCUCGUCCGAAGCAUUCACCUUCUUGCAGAGCACUGUGCGACGCAAGAACCUCAUCGUCUCCAUUGUGGCGCUGAAUCGCCUGCUCGCGUUCGACUCCCCCGAGCUCAGCCCACUCGCCCGGUUCCUGUCGUCUGUUGGCGGCUUCGCUGUGCAUGUAGACUACUGGCUGGCGCUCGCGGCACCCCGGCUGAACAACGAGUGGUGCCGCAAGUUUGAGGGGGCGCGGUGCUUGGCUCAGCAGAUAUUUGUACACCUCAUCAAAGGGUUUCCGGUGACCAUCCCGGGCGCCAUGCGGCGCGAUUUGCUUGCGGACGCCGUUGGCGAGCCAGUGGUUCUCUAUGACGGCGACCACGACCUGCCCGACUUCGUCAUUGGCGCCUCCAUGAAGGAGGUGUUGCGUGCCUCGGCGGCGCUGCGCUUCAACCAGGGGUGGAGCGUUCUGAUCGACUAUCGCGAUGAGUCUGCCACGUCGCAUAUGGCAGCACGCUACGACCACGACUUCCACCGCGGCACCAUCACGCUGCACUACGAGAUGAACAUCAACCGGCCGGCGGUGUAUCGGCGCCUGCUCGUGUCAGGGACAAAGGCGCUGGUCGACCGCUUCUGCAGAACUCGGUGGGACGACGAGACGACAAACUCGGUCGGCGAGGGCAACGGCCACUGGCUCGCGUAUCUCUCGCUGCUGCGACUGCGGGUGAUAAUGUGGAUGAAGGCAGAGCAGGCUCUUAUGCAGCUGGUCAACGCGGGCCCGCGGCAGACGCCGAUGAGCGCCAUCCCUGAUCUCGCCCAUCUCUCCUCCGCCGAGGGCGUGCUGUCGCAGUGGUUUAAUGUUUCCACGGUGUACUCUCUAGGCGUCUUCUUCCGUUUUGAGCAGUUGCCACCCAGUAUGCUGGUGAGCUACACCCGCGCCCAAGUCACGAAUGGGGCGCCGACGGAGGCCGCCGCACGCGCCUGUGUACGUACGGCGAUGGAGCGGCGCCACCGACUUGUCGGCCGCGAGGAAGAUCUCACGUAUCUGCACACGGAGACGGUGACUACGCCUUCGUCUUUUUCAGGUGCCGCGAACGCCGCCCGCGACGUCUUCUCUCUGGUGCAGUUCUUCCCACAGUACGAAACGAGGUCCGGCAGCGACUUUGGUCUAGCCGGCGCCUUCGAGUGCCGCGUGAGCUGUGUAUUGUGCGAUCGUGCCACGCAGGAAGCACUCAUAUGCGCGCUGCUGAGCGACAUCGAGGAGGCGGUGAGCGAGCGCAACAGGGCGACGGCACGCAAAGAUCGGCAUCUGCUGGUGCGCACGUCGUAUCAUACAGAAAACGAACAGGCGCUUCAGUUAGUGAAAGCCAGCCUCAGCACGCGGCGCAUGCGACUGCUGACGAGCUACACGGAGGGGAAGCGGUACCCCGGCGCGGACGCUGGCUCCGCUGCACAGGAGAAAGGUGCGUAUAAGUUAGGGUUCCCGCUGCUCUUCCGCAUUCCGCUGCUGUCCUUCCCGUGGCCGCUGCUGAAUGCGCUGUGCUUCCGCUGGAUCCUCGGCUGCAGCGAGUUUUACCCGUUCCUCGCUGAGGAGAUCUUCAGCCACAUUGUCUCACGCCGCCUGCACGCGGGAUUUGCGCUCAUCGUGUACUACACAUCAUCGCUCAAGGCAGUGCUCAUGAAGCGCGUCGGCGAUCCCGAGACACACUCGGACGUGUGCCUAUUCGACGUACUGGAGGCAAUACCCUCGUCGACGUCGACAGCGGUGCCAGCGGCGCAGAUUUCCCUGCGGCGCCUUGUCACGCCGUUCAAGCGGGCGCGGUCGUCGCUGUGGACGUACACGCACGACAUUGAAGAGGACAUGCACAUCGCCACUGCCGUGUUCACGUGCAAAGUCAUUACCACGCAGCAGCCCAGCAAGCGAUCCCUUCUGGCUCGGCAAAUGCGUGAGCGGGGCUUCAGCCCUAUCGUGGCGCGGGUCGAGUCGAUUCUGUUCUCUCUGCACGUGAGAUACACGGAAUACGUGGAGUUGCGCUCGCCUCCCUCGCUCGGCGUCAAGGGGUGUGUGCAACUGCGCGAACGACUGCUGAACAUUGUGAGCUGCGUCGGGGAUCGCAGCGCUGUCGUGAAGGCCCGUAUGCUGCAAGCGGACUACGUGCAGCGGCUGUCUUCCGGGGCCGACGUAGUGGACCCCGACACAGACGUGUACAUCUCCGUAUUGAGUCCGAUGCGCUACAAGACAGUACUUUGUGUCUUGAUACUUGAGAGCGACACGGAGGCCGGGACGGGGAGGCAUGUGGUCAAGGUUGCGCUGUCUGCCCUUGAUGCGCAACUGCUCGAGUACGCCAUUGCUCAGCAGUACCGCCACCCCCGUCCAACCUUGCCGGGCGGAGACACAGCAGCUGCGGCAUGCAGCGAGGAGUGUGCCGUGGCAUCACCGUCGCACUCGACGAUGCCGGAGUGCAUUGCCGACCGCGCCGUCGUCUUGUCGGUGCGCCACCUGCUCACUGUCUUUACGUCCGUCUACUGCGCCCGCGAGCUCAUCUCGUUCAUCAAACGCGCGUCAGCGGAGAUGGCGGCACCCGCCGUCGCGGAACUGACAGACGCCUACGCUCACCUCGGCAACUACGCGGUAGAGAUGGACGUCACGCAUCUGCUAUACAUUGUGCAGUGGCGCUGCUGCGAAACGGCCGGUGGGUUGCCGUGGAGAAGCAAGGUGCAGGAGGUGUUGACAGAUGUACUGGCGUCGCAGCAGCGGAGCUUUUCGGCGCACCCCACCCUGUGGUUGCCGAAGACGAGAGCCGACCGGGCGCUGCCGCGCGACGAGAUAUCCGGCAGCAAUGCCUCAUCCCCCUACGAAGAGACAGAUGACGAGGAGGUCCGUGAGUACGACGGCGAAAGCGACGGUCUCAGCGCCACGCGGGCGAACGCAACGAGUGAGGACGGCGGGAACGGGGGGAAGAGCGCGCAUCCAGAUUUACUCCCGGUCGCGGUGAAGGCAUGCGUGCUUCUGCCGUUGUCGACCAGCGGCGUAGGCGUGGAAGAGGAGGCGGAAUGCCGGUGGCUAUCGUCGGCGUUUAAGAGGUGUGACGAGGGGCGGCAGAACACAUUGCGUGAGCGGUCGGUGUGGACGAUUCCGUCGGCAUCGCUCAAGGACCCCGCCGCGACGGUUUCCUCAUCGUCGGAGGCGGGGUACGCUACAGUGGAACGGCUGAAGCUCCGCCUCUUCGUAAAAACGGUGCCGGCGGACCUGCUGCCCCUGUGCGAGGACGAGUCUUUCUACCCAUCCCAGACGGCCGUGCGGCGCACGCUGUGUCUUUUCUAUUACCGCUUCACAUCAGAGGAGGUUCCUGCCGCAGUGGGGGGCGUCUCCGCAUCGCAGGCUCCGCCCUUUGUAGCCGCACCCAACUUCCUAGGCGCCGCAGACGAGGCGGCGACGACAGAGCUGGAUGAGCUGUUCGCGCAGCCGAUGGCCGUUGCGUGGGAUCGGCAGCGCUGCCAUGACGUCUUUCACAGCUGCACGGACCGCGGCUCGCUACCGAUUCGAGUGGGGCAGGUGAUGCAACGAAUUGCAGAGAGGCUCAAGUGGCGCGUCGCUGUGUACUGCUUGCAGAACGCGUGCUACUGUUCAACCUUCCGGCAGCUCAGAGCACGCGUCGAAUCGGAGCUGGUGACACAAACGACCAUUUCAGGCGUCACGACUGAAGGCGCCGCCGCAGCCGCAGCAGGCGAACGGCGUGAUGAUGAGGCGCGAGAGAUGCGGCUACGCGAUCCCGUCCUGUCGCACAACGAGAGCGUGAGAGCGACGGGGCUGACGGAGAACGCGGAGUUGCACGCGCUUCUCUGCGACGUCGUAACCCCAGCCCUGCUGAGCUCCCAUCGUUUCGUCUGCGACACGUUCCCGGUCGAGUUCACCCAGCAGAAGACGAACGUCGGCCGCGUAGUUCCGGAGGAGGCGAUCAAGGACGUGUUCCACCACUGCGUGGAUGAGGACUGGAUGUGGGUCCUUCCUACGCUGCCCCUCUCCUACGUGGUGGUGCCUAACCGCGAGCACUUUGGCGAGCGCUGGGUGCUUGUGUGCGCGACGACAAAGCCGUCCCACGGCGUCAGUGGGGCUCGCGUUCUUUUAUACGACGCCCAAGGCACGCCCGCGGCCCUGGAGACGAUGCGCAACUACAGCAGCCACCUCCGCACUCACAUGUGCAACAAGAUCAAGCAGGUGAGUCAGCUGCAUCUCCUCAAACAGCUGCGCGAGUCCUUCAACGCCAGCGCCGAGCUCAUCCCCCCAGCGUGGGGAGACCAGUUCUGCCAGAGUAGCGGUGUGCCAGGCUGCAGCGUCUCCGCGCACCACGGAAGCCCGCCGUUCGACUCGCAGGACGCGUACGUGGCCGGGUCUCCCUUCUACCUGAGCGGCCGCAAUGUGCUGGAGAUUCCUAUCUACUACAAGCUGCAGCAUCAGUGCAAGAAGAUCCUGCACCGCAUCCAGGGCCACUGCUCGCGACUUGAGCUCGUCGCCAUCUUCAACAGAGACCAGUGCUUCCUCGUCGCCGACGAUGUCGAAGGGGACACGUUCCACUACCUUCGCUUAGUGUUUGUCAAGGACACGGCGCACACUGUGUCGGUGACCUCCCGCCCGCCGCCGCUGACGUCUUCGGAUCGCUGCCCGCAGCUCGUGGUGCAACUCUUCAGCGCAAUGCCAAACGCGAGUGUGCAGCGGCCGCUGCAGCGGCUGCAAGACUUCUGCUACCUUCUGGCGGUGCAGGAGCUGCAGGGGCACCUCAACUAUGUGCAGCACAAGAUGAUCUCCUUCAACGACCUUGUUUUCCUGCAGAACCAGCGACUGGAGCCGAUCGUGGUGAAUCUGCGCACCAUCUUCGAUAUCGCCCUCUCCAAUUCUGACCACGACGCUCCCCGCGAGUCGUCGCGCGACGUCGGCACAUGCCAGGAGCGGCAGCGAGAGAUUGCCAUUGCGCUGCUCUUCCUGAAUCUUCGUGAGUACAAGUUCAAGCCCUUCGGCGUCCAGGACGAGCCCACGCACGCCACGAGCAACUUUGUGGAGCACUACAACCUCGAAAAGAGCCUCAACCUCGAGCCAGCGAAGGACUCUGCGCCAAGCGAGAGCGGCGGCAGCCAGGCGCUGCAGGCGUGGCGCUUUGUGAAGAUCGUGGAUGGCGUGACGGACGUGCUUGUCUCGUGCUGUCUCCACGUGCAUCCCGACAACCCGCACGUAAUUGUCCUCGACCGCUACCUGACUCGCAUCCCAGCGGAACGCUACAUCAACGGCGACUCGGAGAACACCAUCCUGGCCCACCUGGCCCACAGCGUCGAGAAGACCAUAGCGCAGCUGCGGUUUUUCGGCUUGACCUCGCCAGGCCAUGCCUCUUUCCCGCUCUUGCGCUCCUCGGUCCACACGACGGUAGGCGAGCUGCUGCGCAUCAGCCAAGAAACGUCUUCCAAGGACUCGUCGCUGCUGCGCUACCGGCACUUCUCGCUCGAUAACGUGAACCCGGCGGUGCUGCCAAUGCUGAUGGAUCGCAUAUGCGGCGCGCUCUCGCGCUACGGCCCGACCUGCUUCACCUACACCGCCGGGCGUGCUGUGAAGGGCGUGGCGCAUGUGCCGAACUUCUCGUGGAAGUGGAUGGAGAGCAUCCAAAACGACGCGAUGGCGGACCCGCUGGAGCUGUAUGUGACAUGCGGCUACGACGUCAUGGACUCGCCCGAGGCGACAGCGCCGUUGGCGCCGACCCGCGUCGUGCCGUACGUCGUGCCAGGUGUCCCGAUCACCUCCGUGACGACCGAGGAAUCGCAGAUGUCGCUGCUGGGCGAGUACCAGCUGUGCGAGCGCGGCUGCCCGUUGCUGGAGUACCGUAUCGUUCUCUCCGUUUCCUUGACGGAGGGCCUCUCGCUAGCGCUCUUCAACCUGCGCGACACGGAGUACGUCGUGCGCCUGCUCGGCUACGUCGUGCUGUCGAUGGAGGAGAAGUCGGCGCUGUUAGAGGACGUGCUCUUGCAGCGCAUGGGCUACGCCGUGCCAUCCUCCUUCAACGAGGCGGAUCUGGCGCGCAACUGCUGCGGCGACGACACGAAUGUGAUUCGCACCAAGUCGCUAUCCAUCAGCUUCGACGCGUACCGGCGGCGCGUCAACAAUGUCCGCUUCCGUCCGCAGCCCGACGCGGAGCGGGACGCGCCCUUGGUCGUGAUACUGGAGGGGCUGUACAACCGAGGCCUCAUUAUAAACUACGCCUUUUCUGUCGAAGACGCCGUCAAAGUGCUGUUCGACGAGUGCCCGCAGUACUCACUGCAAGAAUGCGUGCGCACUGUCGAUGCGCUGCUCGAGGCGCGCGUGCUGUGCGACUAUCCGAAUAGUGCGCUAAAGCCGCAGAUUUCCAUUCUUGCUUCCCUGCCCCACAACGAGCAGCUCAGGUCGGACGCGCGCAAUUGCCGGCUUAGCGAGGUGAGCGGCGUGCCGGCGGAUGCCCUUGUGGCGUGCGUCUACCAUCGCCACAUCCUGGCGUCGCACAUCAUCGUGGAGGCACAGAACGCUCGCUCUGGUGUGGCCGAGGUGCUGGCGAAGUGCGAUACGCUGUGGCGGGCGGGGCCGCAGAACAACGUGCUCGAGCUGGCGAAGGCGAUCGUGACGCUGCAGCUGAAGAGCAAGGAGGUGUUCGGCACGCGUGUGCCCGACUUCUCCCUCCGCCGUGAGCGGUGGCGGCAUGAGGACGAUGUCCUGGACCCGACCCUUCCUACCCAGACCCAGCAAAACAUGAGCUACGCCCGCCCUGUGGACGCGUCGCUGCAGCUCUACACGGAGCACCUGCACCAGCUCUACCCCUCCAUGUGCAUCAUCGAUCUCGACCCCAACGACCCGCUCACCACCUCAGACGAGGUGCUACUCAACCGUCUGCGAUGCCGUUACGGCAAGGUCACAAGCGAAGACGGCGGCGUGGUGCUCUUCAGCCCGCACCUCUACUACGGGGUGAUUCCGUUUGUGGACCUCCUGCGCUGUGGUACCUUCUACGAGCGCUACGGCUCACUCGCGGACGCGCUCGGAGAGGAGGCCAUCGUCUCUCCCAUCACUACCAGCGGGCUCUUCAUUAUCGAGGUGGGCUUCCAGGUGGUGCACUACGCUCUCGACUUCUUCGUCAUCAACGGCGACGCCGUCCCGCCGGGCAUUACGGCGAAGGUGGCCGCAGACUUCAAGCAGACGCUCCUGUUCGAGAGCGUCCUGUACGACGCCGCGGUGCGCAGCCUGGCACACUGCAUGCGUACGCACUCGGUCGCGCUCUCGGGGCAGCAAAAAGCGUACAUGGCGGUGAAGAACCUGGUCAAGUAUCACCCCUUCCCCCCGAUGCACUGCGCAAACAUUGUGGCGGCCUACACCAUCACGGACCCGCGGGUAAUGCGGCUGAAGAACCUGACCCCGGGCGGCGCGGUGAACAGCGGCGACGUGCACGUCGGCACAGACGGUGUCCUCUACCUCUCGCCUCACAAGCACCACCUCCUGCAGCGCGAGCAGACAAACGACAUGUACAUGUAUGGGGGCCUCAUCAUCUGGGAGCGGGCCCAGCUCUUCGUGCUUCUCACCAGCACAAAGGGCGUGAACAAGGCCUCGCCUGAGUCGAACCGCUACCUCUCUCAGCUCGCUCUGAGCGCCCGGCACCUGCUGCUGAAUCAACUGCUAGACAGCACCCAGCAGGAGCGCCUAGAUGUGGCGUGGCGGAAGUUUUUGACGGACGGGCGCGUGGCAGCAGCGACGACCAGGCGUGACAACACGGAGCGGGAGCUGCCGAGCUAUGACGAAUUUGAACUGUUGCGCGGCCACUCGCACAAGAUCGUUCUUCACUCGUACGUGCCAAUGCUGCAGAUGAUUCUGGAGCCGGUGGAGUGGAGUGGCGACGGGUGGCGCCUGCAGGCCGUAUGCGCGCAGUUGUAUCCCGAGCAUGUUCUGCGCGUGAUUGGACGCCAGCGAAGUGCCCGCGAGGCCCAGGAAACAUCCGCGUCAACGCCACACGCACGCCACUAUGACCUCGACACGGGCUCCCCGGCCGGGGCAGUGCUGCCAAGGCACGCCGCCGCCGCCUCCAUAGUGGGACCGAUUGGUGGCUACGACAUCACGCGGCUGUUCAUGUCGCCGUGCUUGACCGGCUGGUUUGUGGUGACGUUUGCGCCGAGCAAGGCGGAGGAGAGCGGCUGCUUUCUCGCCAUGGAGUGCUUCUCCGAUCCACACCGGCCCUUUGGCGCGAGUGUCGUGGUCGAGGAGCUGAGCCUGUACUGCAAGCCUUCUCGCGCCCCUCACCAGCAUCGCGUCAUGACAUUCCUCAGCGAGGCGGAGCAGGCGCUGGUGGAGCGAUUUGUGCGACUGGUGAACAGCGCCGUGUGGUCUAGCAUUGUGCCGUGUGUCUCCCAGUUUAUGAUGUAGCGUCGCGACUGGUGCGCUCUGUCUCUUUCCUGUCCUUCGCCGCCGUCCUCCCUUCCUCCCUCCCUCUCUGGCUCGUUCACUGUUUCCGCAUUGUCCGUUGUUGAGGGGCGAGCUCAUGUGCACGUGUGUGUGUGUGGGGGGGGUGUCGUGCGCUUGUCGCUGAGUGCAACAGCGCACGGCGAUGGCGCCUCCUGCCGGCGAGAGCGAGGCGGAGGGAGGAGAAGAGUGGGCCGGCGGCAGAAAAGCGUUUCGUGGCCAUCUGUGCCUAUGGGCGGGCGGGUGAUGGGGCUCACGCAGCGAUGCGCUGAUCGGGCGGUGUGCCCCCCUCCCCGAGGUCGCGCCCGCCUGCACUGCCACCCGCCCCUAACUCCACGCCCUCUCUCUGUCUUUCUCUUUGCCUUUUCGUUCUUUGUCUGGAGUAUCGCUGUGGUUUCCAGCAACAAAC